rnacentral:rRNA from 1 species
AUUGAACGCUGGCGGCAUGCCUAACACAUGCAAGUCGAGCGAGUGAAGGGAGCUUGCUCCUGGAUGCAGCGGCGGACGGGUGGGUAAUGCCUAGGAGUCUGCCUUGUCUUUGGGGAUAACGUCCUGAAACGGGCGCUAGUACCGCAUACGUCCUUAUAUCGAAAGUGGUGGAUCUUCGGACCGCACGCUAUCAGAUGAGCCUAGGUCGGAUUAUCUAGUUGGUGGGGUAAAUGCCUACCAAGGCUACGAGCCGUAACUGGUCUCAAAGGAUGAUCAGUCAGCCGGGAACAGAGACACGGCCCAGACUCCUACGGGAGGCCGCAGUGGGGAAUAUUGCACAAUGGGCGAAAGCCUGAUACAGCAAAGUCGCGUGUGUGAAGAAGGUCUUCGGAUUGUAAAGCACUUUAAGUCGGGAGGAAGGAAAGUAAGUUUAUACAUUGCUGUUUUGACGUUACCAACAGAAUAAGCACCGGCUAACUCCGUG